CCCUUAGAUGUUCUGGGCCACACGCGCGUUACACUGAUGAAGCCAGCGAGUAUAUCGCCUUCACCGGAAGGUGCGGGUAAUCUUGUGAAACUUCAUCGUGCUGGGGAUAGACCAUUGCAAUUAUUGGUCUUGAACGAGGAAUUCCUAGUAAGCAUGAGUCAUCAACUCGCGCUGAUUACGUCCCUGCCCUUUGUACACACCGCCCGUCGCUACUACCGAUUGAAUGGUUUAGUGAGAUCUCGGGAUUGGAGACGUUGCGCCGCAAGGCACAUCGUCCUCGAGAACUUGAUCAAACUUGAUCAUUUAGAGGAAGUAAAAGUCGUAACA
rnacentral:rRNA from 1 species